CUAGUCUCUCAUAGAAACUUCUGGCCUCUGGACACUGUGGGAGCAACUUUUCCUUUAUUAGACUGUCUCCUCUUUAACUGUACCUAGAAGAUACUUUAGCACAGCAAGCAUCUCUUUUAUGCUUACAUUAUGCAGUUAUGCAGACUUGGUGUACGUCCUUCAAGGACAGUCUAAGAAUCUUUGAUUCUAUUUCUGCUGGAUACAUUGUUGCAGAGAUGAAUAUUGCAGCAUGACUGGGAAGCCUGUCCUUCAUUACUUCAAUUGAAGAAGAAGAAUGGAGUCCAUCCGGUGGCUCCUGGCAGCAGCUGGAGUAGAGUUUGAGGAAGAACUUUUUGAAACCCAUGAAGAGUUUGAGAAGUUAAUCCAAGGUGGAACCCUGAUGUACGAGCAAGUGCCCAUGGUGGAAAUCGAUGGAAUGACUUUGGUGCAGACCAGUGCCAUCUUAAGAUAUGUAGCUGCAAAAUAUGACUUGUAUGGAAGGAACCUGGAGGAACAAGCCUGGAUUGAUAUGUAUGUAGAGGGCUUAAGAGACCUGAGCGACAUGAUAAUGUACUUUCCACUCUCUCUGCCAGAAGAGAAGGAGAUGAACCUUGAAUACAUCCUCCACCGAGCUACAACAAGAUUCUUCCCCGUUUAUGAGAAGGCCCUGAGAGACCACGGGCAAGACUUUCUUGUGGGCAAUCGGCUGAGCUUGGCUGAUGUCCAGCUCCUUGAAGUCAUCUUAAUGGCUGAAGAAUGCAAAGCCAGUGUUCUCUCGGGUUUCCCUCUGCUACAGGACUUCAAGGUGAGAACCAGCCAAAUUCCUACAAUUAACAGCUUCCUCCAACCUGGAAGCCAGAGGAAGCCUCCUUUGGAGGAGCGAUCCAUUGGGACUGCAAAGGACAUAUUCAAAUUUGAAUGAGGACUGUUUCUUAAAAACAUGAGCAAUAUAGUAGCUGAGUAUUAACAGCUACAGAGGCUGGAGUUACUCAGUAAGUAUACUGAGUAACUUGACACUGCAUUCAUAAAAAGACACUCACUAAGUAUAUGGCCAGAGAAAUAUCCUGAAGUUAGUAAUAAAUGUUAGGAAUCUUAGUAUGUUAGCAAUGUUAGAAUGUUAGUAAUGGAAAUAUUAAAUGUGUAAGAGAAAAACUACUAGAAGCUUAUCAAUAAACUACAAGAACCAACUCUUGUUUGAAGUAAGACAGGCUACCAAGACAGAAUUCAGAAAAUCCAAGGAGCCCUCGGCCUUCUGUAUGAUCCUAGAAUAAACUUGUAUGUAGCAAGUGAAA
rnacentral:lncRNA from 1 species